rnacentral:rRNA from 1 species
CACGGAUCCAGACUUUGAUUAUGGCUCAGGUUGAACGCUGGCGGCAUGCCUUACACAUGCAAGUCGAACGGCAGCACGGAGCUUGCUCUGGUGGCGAGUGGCGAACGGGUGAGUAAUAUAUCGGAACGUACCCUGGAGUGGGGGAUAACGUAGCGAAAGUUACGCUAAUACCGCAUACGAUCUAAGGAUGAAAGUGGGGGAUCGCAAGACCUCAUGCUCCUGGAGCGGCCGAUAUCUGAUUAGCUAGUUGGUAGGGUAAAAGCCUACCAAGGCAUCGAUCAGUAGCUGGUCUGAGAGGACGACCAGCCACACUGGAACUGAGACACGGUCCAGACUCCUACGGGAGGCAGCAGUGGGGAAUUUUGGACAAUGGGCGCAAGCCUGAUCCAGCAAUGCCGCGUGAGUGAAGAAGGCCUUCGGGUUGUAAAGCUCUUUUGUCAGGGAAGAAAAGGGUGCGGCUUAAUAUCUGCGCCUCAUGACGGUACCUGAGAAAAUAAGCACCGGCUAACUACGUGCCAGCAGCCGCGGUAAUACGUAGGGUCCAAGCGUCAGUCGAUCGGAUUACUGGGCGUAAAGCGUGCGCAGGCGGUUUUGUAAGACUGUCGUGAAAUCCCCGGGCUCAACCUGGGAAUGGCGAUGGUGACUGCAAGGCUAGAGUUUGGCAGAGGGGGGUAGAAUUCCACGUGUAGCAGUGAAAUGCGUAGAUAUGUGGAGGAACACCGAUGGCGAAGGCAGCCCCCUGGGUCAAAACUGACGCUCAUGCACGAAAGCGUGGGGAGCAAACAGGAUUAGAUACCCUGGUAGUCCACGCCCUAAACGAUGUGUACUAGUUGUCGGGUCUUAAUUGACUUGGUAACGCAGCUAACGCGUGAAGUAGGCCGCUUGGGGAGUCCGGUCUCAAAAUUAAAACUCAAAGGAAUUGACGGGGWCCCGCACCAGCGGGGAAGAAGGCAUUAAUUCGAUGCAACGCGAAAAACCUUAUUUACCCUUGACAUGGAUGGAAUCCUUGAGAGAUUAGGGAGUGCCCGAAAGGGAACCAUUACACAGGUGCUGCAUGGCUGUCGUCAGCUCGUGUCGUGAGAUGUUGGGUUAAGUCCCGCAACGAGCGCAACCCUUGUCAUUAGUUGCUACGAAAGAGCACUCUAAUGAGACUGCCGGUGACAAACCGGAGGAAGGUGGGGAUGACGUCAAGUCCUCAUGGCCCUUACGUCCAGGGCUACACACGUGCUACAAUGGCCGGUACAAAGGGUUGCCAACCCGCGAGGGGGAGCUAAUCCCAAAAAACCGGUCAUAGUUCGGAUUGGAGGCUGCAAUUCGCCUCCAUGAAGCUGGAAUCGCUAGUAAUCGCGGAUCAGCACGCCGCGGUGAAUACGUUCCCGGGUCUUGUACACACCGCCCGUCACACCACGAAAGUCGUCUAUACCAGAAGUCGGUGAGCCAACCCGCAAGGGGGGCAUCCGCCUACGGUAUGGGCGAUGAUUGGGGUGAAGUCGUAACAAGCUAGCCGUAAGCUUCAC